CCAGCAGCGAAACAGUAAGAAGCUCACCUUUUAAAGUGUAUUUUUCUCCCCCCCCCCCCCCCCGGCCUCUUGCUGCUGCUUUAGAAAAGUACUUAAACAAAAACAGUUAUCAGGUAUCUAUCCAUCAGAAUGCAUUAAAAAUUUUAAUCAUAAUUGACAUCUGAGUCCUUGUCUCGCAGAUAGUCAUCUUGACAUGCCAUUUGUGAAACCAGCAAUAUAAGCAUGCUGGAAAAGACACUCACUUUCAAAUCUACUUUGUUUGAAUUUUCAUUUAUCAUUUAA